AAUUGGAAAGAGGAGUGGCGGACGGGUGAGUAACACGUGGGUAACCUACCCAUCAGAGGGGGAUAACACUUGGAAACAGGUGCUAAUACCGCAUAACAGUUUAUGCCGCAUGGCAUAAGAGUGAAAGGCGCUUUCGGGUGUCGCUGAUGGAUGGACCCGCGGUGCAUUAGCUAGUUGGUGAGGUAACGGCUCACCAAGGCCACGAUGCAUAGCCGACCUGAGAGGGUGAUCGGCCACACUGGGACUGAGACACGGCCCAGGCUCCUACGGGAGGCAGCAGUAGGGAAUCUUCGGCAAUGGACGAAAGUCUGACCGAGCAACGCCGCGUGAGUGAAGAAGGUUUUCGGAUCGUAAAACUCUGUUGUUAGAGAAGAACAAGGACGUUAGUAACUGAACGUCCCCUGACGGUAUCUAACCAGAAAGCCACGGCUAACUACGUGCCAGCAGCCGCGGUAAUACGUAGGUGGCAAGCGUUGUCCGGAUUUAUUGGGCGUAAAGCGAGCGCAGGCGGUUUCUUAAGUCUGAUGUGAAGGCCCCCGGCUCAACCGGGGAGGGUCAUUGGAAACUGGGAGACUUGAGUGCAGAAGAGGAGAGUGGAAUUCCAUGUGUAGCGGUGAAAUGCGUAGAUAUAUGGAGGAACACCAGUGGCGAAGGCGGCUCUCUGGUCUGUAACUGACGCUGAGGCUCGAAAGCGUGGGGAGCAAACAGGAUUAGAUACCCUGGUAGUCCACGCCGUAAACGAUGAGUGCUAAGUGUUGGAGGGUUUCCGC
rnacentral:rRNA from 1 species